rnacentral:rRNA from 1 species
GCCAUGUAUGUGCCAAGUUCAAACGUUUUACGUGAGACUGCGGACGGCUCAGUAAAUCAGUGAUAAUCUAUUUGAUUGUCUCUCCCAUUGGAUAACCGUGGGAAAUCUAGAGCUAAUACGUGCAGUUCAUUGGUGUGUCUUCGGAUACACCAAAGCAUUUAUUAGACUAAACCAUCUACCACGCUUCGGCGUAGUAAGGGGAAUCUGGAUAACUUUGCUGAUCGUAUGGCCUAGUGCCGGCGACGUUUCAAUUGAGUUUCUGCCCUAUCAACUUGUUGGUAAGGUAUUGGCUUACCAAGGUUGCAACGGGUAACGGGGAAUCAGGGUUCGAUUCCGGAGAGGGAGCCUGAGAAACGGCUACCACAUCCAAGGAAGGCAACAGGCGCGCAAAUUACCCAAUCUAGACAGUAGGAGGUGGUGAAGAGAAUUACUAAAUGGUGGUCUAACAGAUCACUCGCUUGGAAUGAACGUAACUUAAGAAAUUCGAUGAGAAACAACUGGAGGGCAAGUCCUGGUGCCAGCAGCCGCGGUAAUUCCAGCUCCAGUAGUUUGCUUUAAAGUUGUUGCGUUUAAAACGCUCGUAGUUGGAUCACGCAGCGGUGGUGAGUAAUCUUUUGCGACGGGAUGGUGAAUGAGCCCGUUUUGCGACGGCCAUGAAUCAAACUAAGCAAAAGGUAAAAAUGCUGAUCAUCGCUAGUUGCACGUGAGAUAGAUUGUUGGCCUUUGAUGUGCCGAUAUUCUGGUCUUGCGGAGUGUGCCUUGAAUAAAACAGAGUGCUUAAAGCAGGUCGUUGCCUGAAUGUUAUAGCAUGGAACGAACAAUCGUGUUUAUGUGUACGCCUACUGAUGGUAGCGAGCCUUUGGUUUGUUGUUAUUGGAAACGUCCACGGCACCCCACCAAAAUAUGGCUGUUGGUUCCAUAUACGGUGAAGAUUAACAGGAGCGGUUGGGGGCAUCGGUAUUUGGCCGCGAGAGGUGAAAUUCUUAGACCGGCCAAGGACUAACAAAUGCAAAGGCACUUGUCUAGACCGUUUCCCAUUAAUCAAGAAACGAAAGUGGGAGGUUCGAAGACGAUCAGAUACCGUCCUAGUUCCCACCGUAAACUAUGCCGACCUGGGAUCAGUUCAGAGAUGUUACAAGCUCUGGAUUGGUCCCCCUGGGAAACCUGAAGAUUUUUCGGUUACGGGGAAAGUAUGGUCGCAAGGCUGAAACUUAAAGGAAUUGACGGAAGGGCACCACCAGGGGUGGAGCCUGCGGCUUAAUUUGACUCAACACGGGGAAACUUACCUGGUCCGGACAUCGAUAGGAUUAACAGAUCAAUAGCUCUUUUAUGAUACGAUGAGUGGUGGUGCAUGGCCGUUCUUAGUUCGUGGAGUGAUCUGUCGGCCUAAUCGCGGUAACGAACGAGACCACAGUCUCCAUUUAAGAGAUAGAAGAAGACAUGUGCAGUUUGGUGAGGUGGCACUUGCUGCUACCUCAUCAGCUGUUGGUUGCAGGAAGGAUGAAGCGCUCAUGUCGGUGAGUUUGUGGGGAAACUUGCGCUCUCAUCGGUGUGAGUGUAUCAUUUCUCCCUUCUAUCACGCAGUAGUCGGUAUCAACUGGCUGCUGCCUUAUGGAGAGACAACGAGGUAUAUACAAGCUCGAGGAAGAGUGGCUAUAACAGGUCAGUGAUGCCCUUCGAUGUUCAGGGCUGCACGCGCGCUACAAUGAUAACGACAACGAGUGUCUGCGUCGAAAGACGUGGGUAAUCUUUAAUCGUUAUCGUGAUGGGGAUUGACCGUUGUAAUUAUCGGUCAUGAAAGAGGAAUCCCUAGUAUGCGCAUUUUAUUAGAAUGUGCAGAUUGAGUCCCUGCCCUUUGUACACACCGCCCGUCGCUACUACCGAGUGAAUGGUGUCAUGAUGCGCUGGGACUGGACGUUAGAUGGGUCCUCGGACCUGUCAGGCGCUGGGAUCAGCGUAAAAUGGCGCAAUUCGAGGAAGAA